rnacentral:rRNA from 1 species
UAAGAAUUUAAAGGUCGAACAGACCUAGAAUUAAAAACUCUUCUUUUUAAUCUAAUCUUAAUUCAACAUCGAGGUCGCAAACUUAAAUAUAGAUAUGAACUCCCCAUUUAAAUUACGCUGUUAUCCCUAAGGUAACUAAAUCUUUUAAACCUCAAAUAAGGAUCUUUAUUUACAUAAAUCAAUGAUUAAUAAAAUUAAAGUUAAAAUUUAACUACCACCCCAGCAAAAAGUAAAUUCAAUUAAAAAAUUCUAAUAAAAAAAUCUUUAAUUAAAAUUAAAUAAAGUUCUAUAGGGUCUUAUCGUCCCUAAAAUACAAUUAGGCAUUUUAACCUUAAAUUUAAUUUUUAAUAUUAAAAUUAAUAAAACUUAAAUCUCAUCUAUCCAUUCAUACCAGCUUCUAAUUAAGAAACUAAUUAUUAUGCUACCUUUGUACAGUCAAAAUACUGCAGCCAUUUAAAAAUAAAUUCAUAGGGCAGAAAAUACUUUUAAUAAAAUCA